rnacentral:rRNA from 1 species
AUUGAACGCUGGCGGCAUGCUUUACACAUGCAAGUCGAACGGGGUUGGGAGCUUGCUUCCAAUCUAGUGGCGAACGGGUGAGUAAUACAUCGGAACGUACCGUGUAGUGGGGGAUAACGUAGCGAAAGUUACGCUAAUACCGCAUACGAUCCACGGAUGAAAGCAGGGGACCUUCGGGCCUUGUGCUAUACGAGCGGCCGAUGUCUGAUUAGCUAGUUGGUGAGGUAAAGGCUCACCAAGGCGACGAUCAGUAGCGGGUCUGAGAGGAUGAUCCGCCACACUGGGACUGAGACACGGCCCAGACUCCUACGGGAGGCAGCAGUGGGGAAUUUUGGACAAUGGGCGCAAGCCUGAUCCAGCCAUGCCGCGUGUCUGAAGAAGGCCUC